AUUGAACGCUGGCGGCAUGCUUUACACAUGCAAGUCGAGCGGCAGCGCGGGGGCAACCCUGGCGGCGAGCGGCGAACGGGUGAGUAAUGCAUCGGAACGUACCCUGGAGUGGGGGAUAACGCCGCGAAAGCGGCGCUAAUACCGCAUAUGCUCUGAGGAGGAAAGUGGGGGACCGCAAGGCCUCACGCUCUGGGAGCGGCCGAUGUCCGAUUAGCUAGUUGGUGGGGUAAAGGCUUACCAAGGCGACGAUCGGUAGCUGGUCUGAGAGGAUGAUCAGCCACACUGGGACUGAGACACGGCCCAGACUCCUACGGGAGGCAGCAGUGGGGAAUUUUGGACAAUGGGGGCAACCCUGAUCCAGCCAUGCCGCGUGAGUGAAGAAGGCCUUCGGGUUGUAAGGCUCUUUUGGUCGGGAAGAAAGUGCCCUGCUCAAUACCCUGUGUGGAUGACGGUACCGGAAUAAGAAGCACCGGCUAACUACGUGCCAGCCGCCGCGGUAAAAC
rnacentral:rRNA from 1 species